GCCGGGAUGGCGGAAUUGGUAGACGCAAGGGACUUAAAAUCCCUUGUCCGUAAGGGCGUGCGGGUUCGAGCCCCGCUUCCGGUACUA
rnacentral:tRNA from 1 species